rnacentral:tRNA from 2 species
GGUAGUGUGUCCGAGCAGUCUAAGGAGCUGGAUUAAGGCUCCAGUCUCUUCGGAGCCAUGGGUUCAAAUCCCACCACUGCUA